rnacentral:rRNA from 1 species
GACGAACGCUGGCGGCGUGCUUAACACAUGCAAGUCGAACGGAAAGGCCCUGCUUUUGUGGGGUGCUCGAGUGGCGAACGGGUGAGUAACACGUGAGUAACCUGCCCUUGACUUUGGGAUAACUUCAGGAAACUGGGGCUAAUACCGGAUAGGAGCUCCUGCUGCAUGGUGGGGGUUGGAAAGUUUCGGCGGUUGGGGAUGGACUCGCGGGUUAUCAGCUUGUUGGUGGGGUAGUGGCUUACCAAGGCUUUGACGGGUAGCCGGCCUGAGAGGGUGACCGGCCACAUUGGGCCUGAGAUACGGCCCAGACUCCUACGGGAGGCAGCAGUGGGGAAUAUUGCACAAUGGGCGGAAGCCUGAUGCAGCAACGCCGCGUGCGGGAUGACGGCCUUCGGGUUGUAAACCGCUUUCGCCUGUGACGAAGCGUGAGUGACGGUAAUGGGUAAAGAAGCACCGGCUAACUACGUG